GACGAACGCUGGCGGCGUGCUUAACACAUGCAAGUCGAACGUGAUUUUUGUGGAAAUUCUUUCGGGAAUGGAAAUGAAAUGAAAGUGGCGAACGGGUGAGUAACACGUGAGCAACCUACCUUACACAGGGGGAUAGCCGUUGGAAACGACGAUUAAUACCGCAUGAGACCACAGAAUCGCAUGAUAUAGGGGUCAAAGAUUUAUCGGUGUAAGAAGGGCUCGCGUCUGAUUAGCUAGUUGGAAGGGUAAAGGCCUACCAAGGCGACGAUCAGUAGCCGGUCUGAGAGGAUGAACGGCCACAUUGGAACUGAGACACGGUCCAAACUCCCACGGGAGGCAGCAGUGGGGAAUAUUGCACAAUGGGGGGAACCCUGAUGCAGCGACGCCGCGUGAGCGAAGAAGGUUUUCGAAUCGUAAAGCUCUGUCCUAUGAGAAGAUAAUGACGGUAGCAUAGGAGGAAGCCCCGGCUAAAUACGUG
rnacentral:rRNA from 1 species